rnacentral:rRNA from 1 species
CAGCCGCCACGGGAAUACGUAGGGGGCAAGCGUUAUCCGGAAUUACUGGGUGUAAGGGGAGCGUAGACGGUUAAACAAGUCUGAAGUGAAAUGCCGGGGCUCAACCCCGGAGCUGCUUUGGGAACUGUAGAACUGGAGUGUCGGAGGGGUAAGCGGAAUUCCCAGUGUAGCGGUGAAAUGCGUAGAUAUUGGGAGGAACACCGGCGGCGAAGGCGGCUUACUGGACGACAACUGACGUUGAGGCUCGAAGGCGUGGGUAGCAAACAGGAUUAGAUACCCCCGUAGUCCCUGUCUCUUAUAC